rnacentral:rRNA from 1 species
GACGAACGCUGGCGGCGUGCCUAAUACAUGCAAGUAGAACGCUGAAGGAGGAGCUUGCUUCUCUGGAUGAGUUGCGAACGGGUGAGUAACGCGUAGGUAACCUGCCUGGUAGCGGGGGAUAACUAUUGGAAACGAUAGCUAAUACCGCAUAAGAGUAGAUGUCGCAUGACAUUUGCUUAAAAGGUGCAAUUGCAUCACUACCAGAUGGACCUGCGUUGUAUUAGCUAGUUGGUGAGGUAACGGCUCACCAAGGCAACGAUACAUAGCCGACCUGAGAGGGUGAUCGGCCACACUGGGACUGAGACACGGCCCAGACUCCUACGGAAGGCAGCAGUAGGGAAUCUUCGGCAAUGGACGGAAGUCUGACCGAGCAACGCCGCGUGAGUGAAGAAGGUUUUCGGAUCGUAAAGCUCUGUUGUAAGAGAAGAACGAGUGUGAGAGUGGAAAGUUCACACUGUGACGGUAGCUUACCAGAAAGGGACGGCUAACUACGUG